GACGAACGCUGGCGGCGUGCUUAACACAUGCAAGUCGAACGGCAAGGCCCUGCUUUUGUGGGGUGCUCGAGUGGCGAACGGGUGAGUAACACGUGAGUAACCUGCCCUUGACUUUGGGAUAACUUCAGGAAACUGGGGCUAAUACCGGAUAGGAUCUCCUGCUGCAUGGUGGGGGUUGGAAAGUUUCGGCGGUUGGGGAUGGACUCGCGGCUUAUCAGCUUGUUGGUGGGGUAGUGGCUUACCAAGGCUUUGACGGGUAGCCGGCCUGAGAGGGUGACCGGCCACAUUGGGACUGAGAUACGGCCCAGACUCCUACGGGAGGCAGCAGUGGGGAAUAUUGCACAAUGGGCGGAAGCCUGAUGCAGCAACGCCGCGUGCGGGAUGACGGCCUUCGGGUUGUAAACCGCUUUCGCCUGUGACGAAGCGUGAGUGACGGUAAUGGGUAAAGAAGCACCGGCUAACUACGUG
rnacentral:rRNA from 1 species